rnacentral:tRNA from 1 species
GGCCCCUUCGUCUAGUGGUUAGGACUCAGGACUUUCAUUCCUGCAACAGGGGUUCGAGCCCCCUAGGGGUCA